GGGCCUGUAGCACAACGGUUAGUGCAGGGGACUCAUAAUCCCUUGGUUGCAGGUUCGAAUCCUGCCGGGCCCACCA
rnacentral:tRNA from 1 species